rnacentral:lncRNA from 1 species
GUUUAUUGCUAUCUAUCUAGAUGAUUUUCAUUAGUGAAUGUGAGAGGAAUGGCUUCUGGAGUGUUUGCAGUGAUUCCUGGCUGUGAUGAGCUCAACCACCAUCUCUGUGACACACAUCUUUGCCAGCCCAGCGUGUGCACACUGCAGUCCCAUCCAACCACAGAGCAGGUUUCCUGUUUCACAUGGGGACACCGAGGCCGUGAAUGGACGGAGGGUCGCUGCGCUCAGCCCCCAGCCCUGGAAGGCAUCUGGAAGCCGAGCUGACCAACAGACCUCACCGAGCCAUUCACACAGCAGGAGAGCACAACAGCUCCAAGUUAGAACGCGUACUUUGCACUUACACAACCAGAAUCAUUGGGAGACCACAAGUAAGUUCUAAAAUCCAAGCUACCAUUAAGAAAAUAAAAAUUAAGUUCAAAAAUAUUUUUAUGGAAGU